GCCUUCCCUACGGGGGGAGGAGCAUGAGGAAUUUUGCGCAAUGGGGGAAACCCUGACGCAGCAACGCCGCGUGAGUGAUGAAGGCCUUCGGGUCGUAAAGCUCUGUCAAGUGGGAAGAACCCUUGUAUCCGGAUAAUGGAUGCAAGCUGACGGUACCACUGAAGGAAGCACCGGCUAACUCCGUGCCAGCAGCCGCGGUAAUACGGAGGGUGCAAGCGUUAUUCGGAAUUACUGGGCGUAAAGGGCGCGCAGGCGGCCAUGUAAGUCAGUUGUGAAAGCCCGGGGCUCAACCCCGGAAGUGCGACUGAAACUGUGUGGCUUGAGUAUGGUAGAGGGAAGUGGAAUUCCUGGUGUAGCGGUGAAAUGCGUAGAUAUCAGGAGGAACACCGGUGGCGAAGGCGACUUCCUGGACCAUAACUGACGCUGAGGCGCGAAGGCGUGGGUAGCAAACAGGAUUAGAUACCCUGGUAGUCCACGCAGUAAACGUUGAUCACUAGGUGUUGCGGGUAUUGAUGCCUGCAGUGCCGGAGCUAACGCAUUAAGUAUCCGCGCUGGAGAACGGCACU
rnacentral:rRNA from 1 species